rnacentral:sRNA from 1 species
UGUAUCUGAAGUCUGACGAGGAUGAGAACCUCCGGGGGCAAGAGGUUCGACUCGAGCGAAGCGAGAGAACGUUGCGUCAGCAACGGCCCGCAGGGCGAGCCACGCAGUGGCGAGUCAUCCUCU